rnacentral:lncRNA from 13 species
ACAGCAAAGCCUCUCCAGGGCCUUCUGUUCUCCAGGCUGAACAUUCUCAAGCCCACAUGGACAGCAGUGACUUAGAUCAGCAGAAAUCAAAGCUGCAAGGUUUUGCUGUUUGAAAGGAAGCUUAGCACAGCAUCCACUGUCUUCUCCAUUUGUGAAACACCGAGCAGAAUCUGAGCAGGCUGAUGGUGCAGAGCAAAACCUGCAAAUAUAUUGAUAAUCUUGAGCCUGGGGGAUGCAGUUAAACCCAGUCAAAAGUAAUUUCUGGAAAGUUGAACCUGGUUUACAUUUUCUUGAGUUUGGCUGUUCAGCUUCACCAGUCAUUUAUAAAAAAGCAAACAAAAAAUCAAACCAAAAAAGACAAAAACUCAAACAAACAAACCCACACAAACCAAUCAAACAGAUAAAAAACCCCAAAUAAAACCAAAAGGAAUGAGGAGUUCAUAGUAGUUGUGAGGAUAUCACAGCAGGCGAAUGGCUGCUUCCCACAGGAUCACCAUACAAAGCCACAUGGAACAGCUGCUCCAAAAUAUACACACCAGGGGAAAUAGAAAAAGUGAUACAUGGCGGCUUUGGGGGUAGCUCCACAUUAAGGUGAAGGAUGAGCACUCCGUGGUACAGAUCCAGCAUUCCACACACUCCAGGCCGCUCUUUGCUCCUGAUGAAAGACCCUUGCAGGACUGUGGCCCUUCUCAGUGCAAUGUAAAUCAUUGCCACAGCUCUCAGCUGAGCCACUGGCAUUUCCAGAGCGAGACUCAGGCACAAUCCUACUGCCUCGGAGCAUCUGUGGAAGAUCCUGAGCUUCUUCACCCCCAGAAACACAAAGCAGCUCAGGCUUUCCCUGAAUUGGGUCUUCAGAGGAGGUUUCCAGUAUCUCUGAGAUUUGUUCACCCCUCAGCACGUGUGACUUUAUGUCCAGUUUCAUUAAAAGAGGCUCAAGUUUGCCUUGCAACACAGAAGUGCUGUAGCUAUUCCCAGGAGAAAAACAAGAAAUG